ensembl:lncRNA
AGCCAAGAGAGCAGUAUUUCUCUGGCUAGAGAUAUUAUUCCUCUUCAGUUAUCACUAAUCAUCAGAAGGGGAUCUAUUUAAGGUGAUGGACUUGUAUCUUCACUGGGGACGUAUGCUGUAUGUAGGAGGAGGUGAUGGCACUGGGAGUUGAAUCUACUUGAAACCAUUUGAGGAAGCACGGUUGUCACGGAGUUGAAGUUAAGUAUAAGCACAUCAUGGCAGUAACAGAUCAAGGAUAAGGGUGCAAGAGAAGUAGCAUUAAUUCAGAUAGUUUGCUUUUUAACAUAAGCAAGCCAUUACUUAUGUCUUGUGACAAUUCUGGUUGCAAUUUUCUGCAGGGGUU